GGUUGUGCCAUGGGGUCUCCAGUGGCUCCCAGAUAUGCGAAUGUUUACAUGUUCGAACAAGAAACCAAGAUGUUCUUUGACGUUCCUGAGAGAAUGGGUCAUCGUUAGAAGGGGCAGCACAGGCGACCUGGGACCGCUAUUUGUAGGGCUGGAUCAAGCUGAAACGCACAGGCACCUGGUUGGAACGCAUGCAGGCGAUCACCAGGGCAACACAGGAAGUGUGCUGCCGGAUAUGCGUCAGCCGAUGUGACUUCCGCCCGGCGGGUCCCGAUGCCCGGCAAUACCUGACAGUUUGACUAAGCAGUGUGGUGGGGAUUUAAGAUGGACACCCCUGAUGAAGUGAAUAUUGACGAAACGUGUUGGUUGAUAUGCAAGUUGCUAAA